CUGAUUUUCUAGUUUUAUACAAACUAGAAAAAAUGUGUAACUAACACGAAAUCUGCAAUUACACAGAUAGGAAGAUUGCUUAAGAAGAAACUAAUAUAAAAGCACCAUGUUCAUGAUGCUUUGAUAUCUUGGGGCAUCUUGCAGACCAGGGAUGGACUGCCCCUCCCAGGUUUGGCUAAUUCCUGGAGAUACUAAACAACUUGGCUUAGAACACACCUUUUACAUGCAAGACAACACAUCCAGGCUCCAUACCCUCAUCUCAUCCUUUUCUCAGGCUCCUCCAGCACAGAACAUUAUCCUCCUGCUCUAAGUCACCCAGAGCCAGUUAGCUGCCACUCUUCCUUGAGAUCUCGGCUCAACUGUCAUUUUCCCAGAGAAGUCUUUACAGAGACACAGAAGAAGUCAGAUCCCCUAUAUGGUCUUAGAGCACUGAGAAUUUUACCCUCUUGUCAGUCUUGGCCAUGUGAUUUCAUUUGGCAAAUGACAUGGGAGUGGAAGUGACAUGCCCAGAAGAUUUGAGAGCCGUGGUGAGAUCCUAUUAUUUCCCUUCUGACACAAGACACACCACAUCCCCAGAUGGAGGUAUUCUGUCAAUCUGCAUCCCAAAGUGAAAAGGAUGAAGGACAAAGUUACAACUGAUGGAGAGCCAUCAUGGAAGAUGACGAAAAUAUUAGCUUUACUCUUGCAAAGCACUGAGAUUUGAGGGUCACUUGUUCUUGCAGCAUAGCCCAGCAAAGAAUGACUGAUACACUUUUCUUCACAAAACCUCUGUCUAAUUGAACUGAAACUCUGAACUAUACACUGAAUGAAAGAAUGGUCUGUUCCCAUUUCGAUAGGUCAACCCUCAUUUUUAUAAGUGUACAGCUUCAGGAAGUCACACAUGCAGUCAUGAAGGGAGAAAGUGGAGUUCUCAACUAUUGAAGCCAGUGGGCUAACUUCUGCAUUCACUGACAUGAAACAUGCUGAAGUCUGUUUGCCUUGCAGUUCUCUGCUGGAUGUGCCAAGAGGGCUCUAUUUUAGAGAAGGAAAACUAACAAUAGAUUCCCGCCAACUAAAAGGGGAUUUCUUUUCCUGGGAAGGAAAAAAUAAAUGGAAAAAAAAGAUCUUUAUCUGGUGAUUUGUACUGAAACAAGAAUAGUCAGAGCUCAUCAUCAUAUCAUUUUUAAUAGUAAUGUCUCACAGAGAAACAUAAAAGAAACUUAUUAAAGACAAAAAUAGUUUAUAUGAACUUUUUGCUAAGCAUAUGAAGUUGAAUUCAUAACAUUCCUUCCACCUCCAGUCUACCUUCUCCAUUCCUGUUUCCUUUUUUUGUCUUUUUUCCUUGUCCUUACCCAAAAUCUACUCAAGGCCAUUUUGGAAGAUGUAAGGAUGAUAGAUAUGGGUAUA